CUCUCGGAUAACGGGGCAGGCCGGUGGCCCACGCAGCCCACCAGCUUGCAGGGAGGGCAGACCCUGGGGGAUGUGAGGGAGGCUUUCUCACGCAGACCCUGAAACAGGUCCUGGAGCUGCUACUGCUGGCUUAGGCUGGUUGGUGGAAAGGAUCCAGGGCUGUUGUGAAGGCCUUGGGGAGUCCAGAAGCCGCCUGGCACCUUCUGGGUCCAGACGCUGCCCUUCAGCCCUGCCAUUUCAGCCAGCCUCAGCGUCGCUGUAGAGGCAGGCCGCCCUUUCUGCCACUGUCUGGCUGGGCUGGGCCGUGGGAGUGCUGGCCAACGUGCCAGGCAGGGAGGACCUGAAUUCCUGAAGGUGGUGGUGGCAGCUGUUAGGGUCCACAGGUUAAUGAUCUCCAACGUCACACAGAAGAGAAUGUGCUGAGGUGUGACCUCCCUCACCCUGCCUUGGCUGCGUGGGGCACCGUCUCUCCAGGACUCACCCUGCCCCCCAAUAGACUGAAGUCUGAAGAUCAGCCCAGUCUUCCUUCAGGCCUCAAUGCCCUCUCACUUCCCCAGCCCGAGGGACUCCUGGCUCUUCUCGGAGGCUGCUCUGUGGGGUCCCUCCCUUGGGCCUUUGCUAAUGCUGUGCCCUCUGCCUGUGCCAGAGGUGGGCCUGGGCCCGUUUCUCAGGGAGCUCCUGAACACCAAGAAAUUGAAUUGCUUUGUAAAUAAACAAAAAGUGCCAAACA
rnacentral:lncRNA from 10 species